UCUGUGACGUACACAGGUGGGGGCGUUGAAAAGGCGGGACGAAGAUGCUCCAGCACAGGCUAAAGGGGGGUGGGGUAGAGAACAGGGAUUUUCGCGCAGGCGCAUAGAACUUAGGCGCACACCUGGGUCUGUUCUUUUUGCCGCACGCUUGCUGCCUGCCAGGGUCGGGUCUCCAAGUGUACUGUGUGAGGAGCCUUGGAGUGGAGCGUAGGCGUGCGCACGGAGAGCGUUGUUUCCCCAGGUUGAGGAAGAAAUUUCCCUCUUUCAGGGCAUAAUUUUGACUGAUUUACUACAUCUACACCCUUUUUGUGAUACCCCCGAAGGACAUAUUAUUUCAUGGCAUCUUAAUAAAGAUCCUACUGGAGUUAACAGAGUUGGUUCACAAGCGUAUUUGUCAGAAACAAGAGCCUCCUCACAAGUCAAGAUCUUGCUCUCAACCCACAAGACAAAAGAGGAACUGCAAAUAAAAUCAGAGGACCUUGAAAGUACAACCAUCUGUAUUUAAUUAUUGGCAAGUGGGUCAUAUUCAUUACGGAAUAGCAGUGAAGUAUCCACGGUCCAGGUGGGUGCCACACAGCAGAGCGGAGCAGGGGCAGGUACAGGCCUUAAUUCAGGUCCCUCCUUCUCCGAGCAAACUUUUCCAAGGCACAAUGAUUAUCACUUACCUUGGUACUCAUAUGUCUUAUCACUUACAGCAUUUAUUUUUGUUAUAAUCUAUUUUUUAUUGCUUUCUUUCAUUGUAAUUUGACUAUUGAGGAAUAGUUAUUCCUGUGGUUACAGAUUCAUUCAUUCCACAAAUACUAGUCGGCUCUCUAAAGGGUCUGUCAAUAUGAUGGCUUGGGAGGUAGAGUGUUGGGCACAGCAGAUGUGGCUCCUACCUUCACUGCUUUGGGAUUGAGGGGAGAGAGACAAGGACACUUUGCCAUUGUAACUCCGGGGAGCAGAAAUCCCAGGGCAAAUUACCUAGCUGAAACCGAAAUCAGCCAAAGGGAGAAAUAAAAUUUAAAACCCUUUUAUUGCUUACAAACUGCAGUCUGGGGGACGUCUCCCUCCUCUUCCCACAGAAGUAAGUGAAACCUCCCCUCAGCCUCUCAGGUUCAGAUAAGCCCUCAGGUGCCCAGGUAAUUACCCAUUGAUAUGGAGAUGAACUACUUCUGUUCACCCCUUAGCAAAGCCUGUUCAUAUGGAGAUGCACUAGAGCCAGGUGAGAAAUUCUGGAAUAUUACAAUUUUACCCAUAGCCACGCACAUAACUGAUUGCAAUGCUGUAAGUGUGCAGAAGAGAAAGCACUAGGAGCUAUGUUAGUAGAAGUGGUGAUUGUCCUGUAAAUGAUUUUACCUGAUGUUAUUAUAGCUCACAAACCUCUUCUUUCAUCUUCCUUGAAACCAGUCCAUUUGCCCUACCAGCAUCUCUCCUUCACUGUGAUGUAUUUAUUUAUUGUUAUUUUUAGUUAUUUUUUCAUUUUUAAUUGUAGUAAAACACACAUAACAUAAAAUUUACCAUCUUAACCAUAUUUAAUUAUAUAGUUCAGUAUUGUUAAUUUCCUUCAGUGUUGGGCAGCAAUGACCUCCUUUCAUCUCCAGAACAUUUUUCAUCUUGAAAAACUGAAACUGUCUAUCCUUUAAACAACUCCCCAACCCUUUUCCCCUCAGUCUCUUGCAACCACCAUUGCAUUUUUAGUCUCUCUGAUAGGUACUACCUAUAAGUGGGAUCACACAGCAUUUGUGUUUUUUGUGACUGGCUUAUUUCACUCAGCUGAAUGUCUUUGUGGGUAAAAUUGAAACAUUUCCAGAAUUUCUCGCCUGUCUUUGGUGUAUCUGCAUAUUAACAGGCAUUCGGAGGUGUAAACAAGUAGGCUGUAGUGCAUUUGCAUCUUUCCUCACGGGUGGAGAAGUUCAUCUCCAUAUCAAUGG